CCUACGGGUGACAGCAGUGAGGAAUAUUGGUCAAUGGACGAGAGUCUGAACCAGCCAAGUAGCGUGAAGGAUGACUGCCCUAUGGGUUGUAAACUUCUUUUAUAUGGGAAUAAAAUGUUCCACGUGUGGGAUUUUGUAUGUACCAUAUGAAUAAGGAUCGACUAACUCCGUGCCAGCAGCCGCGGUAAUACGGAGGAGCCGAGCGUUAUCCGGAUUUAUUGGGUUUAAAGGGAGCGUAGGUGGAUUGUUAAGUCAGUUGUGAAAGUUUGCGGCUCAACCGUAAAAUUGCAGUUGAAACUGGCAGUCUUGAGUACAGGAGAGGUGGGCGGAAUUCGUGGUGUAGCGGUGAAAUGCUUAGAUAUCACGAAGAACUCCGAUUGCGAAGGCAGCUCACUGGACUGCAACUGACACUGAGGCUCGAAAGUGUGGGGAUCAAACAGGAUUAGAUACCCCAGUAGUC
rnacentral:rRNA from 1 species